rnacentral:misc_RNA from 1 species
GAAAUGCGAUAAGUAAUGUGAAUUGCAGAAUUCCGUGAAUCAUCGAAUCUUUGAACGCACAUUGCGCCCUCUGGUAUUCCGGGGGCAUGCCUGUCCGAGCGUCAUUGCGAACCCCUCAAGCACGGCUUGUGUGAUGGGCCCUCCCGCGUCUUGGUCGUCAAGACGGGCCCGAAAUGCAGUGGCGGCUUCGCGGUUAUCCGAUCAGCCAGAGCGUAUGGGGACUCUCUCUCUUGUCACACGCCCGCGGCGCAGACCGACGCCUGUCGACCUUUAUUCAUCUUCUCUCGGUUGACCUCGGAUCAGGUAGGGAUACCCGCUGAACUUAAGC